AUUGAACGCUGGCGGCAGGCCUAACACAUGCAAGUCGAGCGGGGUUUUCGGACCUAGCGGCGGACGGGUGAGUAAUGCGUAGGAAGCUACCCGAUAGAGGGGGAUACCAGUUGGAAACGACUGUUAAUACCGCAUAAUGUCUACGGACCAAAGUGUGGGACCUUCGGGCCACAUGCUAUCGGAUGCGCCUACGUGGGAUUAGCUAGUUGGUGGGGUAAUGGCUCACCAAGGCGACGAUCCCUAGCUGGUUUGAGAGGAUGAUCAGCCACACUGGAACUGAGACACGGUCCAGACUCCUACGGGAGGCAGCAGUGGGGAAUAUUGGACAAUGGGCGCAAGCCUGAUCCAGCCAUGCCGCGUGUGUGAAGGAGGCCUUCGGGUUGUAAAGCACUUUCAGUAGGGAGGAAGGGUGUUGUGUUAAUAGCACAGCAUUUUGACGUUACCUACAGAAGAAGCACCGGCUAAUUCUGUGCCAGCAGCCGCCGUAAGAC
rnacentral:rRNA from 1 species